rnacentral:rRNA from 1 species
CAAGGUUUCCAGGGGAAGGUUCGUCCGCCCUGGGUUAGUCGGGACCUAAGCUGAGGCCGAAAGGCGUAGGUGAUGGACAACAGGUUGAUAUUCCUGUACUACCGAUAACCGUUUGAGAGAAGGGAUGACACAGUAGGAUAAGCUAAGCACACUGUUGGUUAUGUGUGCCCAAGCAUUGAGGCAGUCAAAGUAGGCAAAUCCGCUUUGAUAAUGCUGGGAUGUGAUGGGGAGCGAAAUUUAGUAGCGAAGUAGCUGAUUUCACACUGUCAAGAAAAGUCUCUAUCGAGGUUAAAGGUACCCGUACCGCAAACCGACACAGGUGGGUGAGGAGAGUAUCCUAAGGCCAGCGAGAGAACUGUUGUUAAGGAACUCGGCAAAAUGACCCCGUAACUUAGGGAUAAGGGGUGCCACCAUCAGGUGGCCGCAGAGAAUAGGCCCAAGCGACUGUUUACCAAAAACAUAGGUUUCUGCUAAGUCGCAAGACGAUGUAUAGGAGCUGACGCCUGCCCGGUGCUGGAA